rnacentral:rRNA from 1 species
GACGAACGCUGGCGGCGUGCUUAACACAUGCAAGUCGAGCGGUAAGGCCCUUUCGGGGGUACACGAGCGGCGAACGGGUGAGUAACACGUGGGUGACCUGCCCUCAGCUCUGGGAUAAGCCUGGGAAACUGGGUCUAAUACCGGAUAUGACUCCAUGACGCAUGUCGUGGGGUGGAAAGCCUUGUGCGGCUGGGGAUGGGCCCGCGGCCUAUCAGCUUGUUGGUGGGGUGAUGGCCUACCAAGGCGACGACGGGUAGCCGGCCUGAGAGGGCGACCGGCCACACUGGGACUGAGACACGGCCCAGACUCCUACGGGAGGCAGCAGUGGGGAAUCUUGCGCAAUGGGCGAAAGCCUGACGCAGCGACGCCGCGUGAGGGAUGACGGCCUUGGUU